UCAAAGUGUGAGAGAGUGAGCCCCCCCUCAGAGAAAAAAAUUCAGCUUUUUUUUCUAAAUACCUGCGUUUUGAAAGCUAUUUUAAUUAUUUUACACAUUUCAAACAUCUCCGAUCAUAAUUUUAAAACAUUUGGAUCAUAUUUUUGAAACAUUUGAAACACAUUUUUUAACAUAUUUUAUGGGACAUUCAGCAGGUUAGGCAGGAAAAUAUUAGCUCUAUGGUCCUCAGUUUGGAUGCUGAAAAAGCUUUCGAUUCGGUUGGGAGGGAAUUCCUCUAUGUAGUGAUGUACAGAUUUGGCUUUAGCAAAGAUUUCAUACGCUGUAUUCAAGCUCUUUAUUCCUCUCCUACCGCAAGAGUAAAAGUCAACGGGAGUCUUUCCAACUCUAUCAUUUUGCAACGUGGCUGCAGGCAAGGCUGCCCAGCCAGCCCUAGUCUAUUUAAAUUGUUUAUUGAACCUCUAGCUCAAGCAAUUCGGCAGGAGGUCGGACUUAAAGGCAUAUCUGUGGGAAGUGAGGCGUACAAAAUAGGACUUUACGCAGACGACGUAUUGGUCACGAUCCUGGACCCGGGCUCUGGCUUACCUAUACUAAUGAGAAUGUUAGAAACAUAUGGGACACAUUCAGGUUAUGUUCUUAAUGUACACAAAACCCAGGUCUUGAGAUUUAAUUAUAGUCCUACGCAAGACUUUAUCACAAGGUAUAAUUUUAAUUGGAAUUCAACUCACAUAAAUUACCUUGGAGUACGUCUACCUAAGGAUCUCUCACAGCUAUUUGUUAUUAAUUAUAAUUCAGUUAAUCAUAAUAUAGAUGAUGACCUCACUAGAUGGGCCCUCCUUCCUCUCGACUUUGGCAGUAGAAUUAGAUCCGUUAAAAUUAAUAUUCUUCCCAGAUUAUUAUAUCUUUUUUUAUCACUUCCAGUAGAAAUCCCCCAGAACCAAUUUAGAGAAUGGGAUAAGCAUAUUUCUCGAUUUAUUUGGAAUAAAAAGAAACCAAGGGUAAAAUUCUCUACCCUCCAGCUGCCGGAGGAAAGGGGGGGCAUGGCCCUCCCUUCCUUAAGAAAAUAUUAUUUGUCGGCUCAUUUGAGGCCUUUGGUGUAUUGGUGUAACCCAUCCUACGUUGCCAAAUGGAAAACCAUGGAGUUAUCUAUAUCAGAUUCACCAAUACAAUCACUGCUUGGCUUUGUUGACAAGGAGAACGAAAUUAUACAAGUAGUGGAUCAGUGGGUUAAUCUAUCACUAAAGAUAUGGACGGAAGUCGUAAAAUGUUUUCAACUCCAAAGAGACAUUAAACUGCUAAGAUGGCCAGCCUACGACCCUGACUUCAUACCAGCACUGCAGGAUCAUAGGUAUAGACAGUGGGUUUAUUAUGGUAUUACUGCUAUUUGUAAGACCGCUGAAACGGGCGAGUUUAAAAGCUUUAACAACCUAUGUCAAACAUACGGGCUGGGCAGACAAGACUUUUACAGAUACUUGCAGCUUCGUGACUAUUUUUGUAAAAAGAUAAGAGGUGCUAAUUUAAGAGAAAUACAAACUAUUGUUCAAAUAUUUAUUGAUGCAUAUAAUUCUGGAAACAUCAUUGGUCUGAUAAGCAAGUUGUAUUGCGGAAUCAUAUCUCUGAACAAGGACUCAACAGACUAUGUGAAGGAACGAUGGGAAAAAGAACUGAACAUUGUAAUAACUGAAGACAUAUGGCUGAAUGCCUGGACAACACAGUUUUCCUCCACCAACUCCCGGACCUGGAGGGACUUCUGUUGGAAAAACUUGAUUCGUUUUUUUACCACCCCAAAACAGAAGAUCUUGGUUAUUUUCCUGAUAAGCUAAGUAAAGAUGAUGCAUACCUCUUAAAGAUUUUGCUGGCAGCAAGUAAAAAGGCGUCACAAAAUUCUGGCUUCAGAAAAAUGCUCCUACUGUUGGUCUCUUUGUUAGCAUUGUUAGUAGUUGCAUCUUUUGGAAAGAAUGACUUACUCCAUACGACUUCAAAAGGAGUUGGGUGAAAAGCGAUGGGGAAAAUGGUCGGUUUAUUUAGCUAGUCAGACAGAUUUGGCAUAGACACUGCGCUGUGAGCGGGUUCUUUUUCUAAGCCUUGGAGAUAGGCAAGAUUGCCAUGAUUAAGUGAUUGUCCCAUGACCUCUUGUUUUGUUUUCUGUAUGUGUUUGCUUUCUGUAUGUGUUUGCUGUUUGUGGAUAAUGGGAAAAAUACUCAUGAAUAAAAAGUAAAAAAAAAAGUGUGGUGAUUUUAUAACUUAAGUUUGGUGAUGUUAUAACUGAAGUUAUGUUAUAACUGAUGUGUGGUGAUGUUAUAACUGGAGUGUGGUGAUGCAAUAGCUUAAGUGUGACGAUGUUAUAAUCACCAACUGGACACCAGAGCUUUUGUCGCGGUAAUCUUCAGUUCUUUAGUUUGUAGCCACUUUCGUGCUAACUUCAUGUUAGUACUGUUUAAUAUCAGAAAGGUAUAUGGCUAGUACAGGCUGCUGUAGCAGUGUAUGGUAGUAGUAUUAUUGUAUACUGUCAAGUUACCAGCUCAGGUCAGUACCCUGAAGGCCGUAGUACAUAGUGGGUAUACAUAGUGAUAUUCAAUGUAUUGAGUAGGUUACAAAGUACUUUGGUUGUAUAGUAAUGUGUGUGUGCAUGUAUGUUUUUGUGUAGUUCUGUAGCCAUGGUGACCUGCUGUGUGAGCGCUUAGUGUGUAACCUAGGUUACCUGGAGCCGGGCAGCGAGGCCACCAUCGCCCUGGAGAUAGGACUGAAUCCUGCAGUCCUGCAUCACAGUCCGGGUCGUCAUAGUUUGAUGCUGCUGGAAAGUUCGGCCAUCUUGACGUCUCCUAGCAACGGAGAUCAAAGCAUCUUGCUGCAGCCUCGAGCCCUGGCACGGGUGGUGCUAGAGGCUCAUUCCUCCCAGAAGCCAUCAGGCAGGGUUAAACUCUUCAUCAUCAUCAUCAGUCUGGUUCUGGGCCUACUGAUACUGGCUCUGCUCAUCUACUGCCUGUGGAAGGCAGAGUUCUUUAAGCGAGAGUUCCAGAAGGACGAGGCCAAGAGAGACAGCUGGGACUAUGUCUCCAAGAGCACCUCCUCCUCCUGACCUCCUCCUCCUGACCCCCUUCUGACCUCAUCCCCCUCCUCCUGACCUCUACCUCCUCCUCCUGACCUCGUCCUCCUGACCUCAUCCUCCUGACCUCCUCUUCCUCCUCCUGACCUCCACCUCCUUCUCCUGACCUCCACCUCCUCCUGACCUCCUCCUGACCUCUACCUCCUCCUCCUGACCUCUACCUCCUCCUCCUGACCUCCACCUCCUCCUCCUGACCUCCACCUCCUCCUCCUGACCUCCACCUCCUGACCUCCACCUCCUCUUCCUGACCUCUACCUCCUGACCUCUACCUCCUCCUCCUGACCUCCACCUCCUCCUCCUGACCUCUACCUCCUCCUCCUGACCUCCACCUCCUCCUCCUGACCUCAAUCUCCUCCUCCUGACCUCCACCUCCUCCACCUAUUACUCAUCUCCUCCACCACCACAUCCUCACCACCUCAAGACUAGUCAACAGCGAUGCAGAACAGCCUGUUUUCUGACUGAAAUCCUUGAUGCCAUGUGAGAUGUGUGCCUUGCUGACUGCCUGCUGUGGGUGUGAUUCUCAGAUUAGUCAUCUUUCAUUAUUAUUUUAUUCUGUGUUAUUCUCAGAUCUGUCUUUUAUAUUAUUAGUAAAUCAUGUGCUUAAGGUUUUUUUUUACACCAGGGCUGUUUUAAUUGUGCCAUAGCUUUUUGUACCAGUUAUGGCCGCUGUGGUGAGUUGAGGUUUAUGGCAUCUAGUGGAAAAUGUGAUAUAAUAUUCAUAAGUAGCUUUUGGUUAGUGUACAAUCCCAUGAAAAUAAGACCAUAGAAUUUUUCAAUGUUAAUCAAAAUCACCAUCUCACUUGUAAGAUAUUACCUGUAUUUUUACAGACAAAAUAACUAAAUACAAUUUAUAAUCUUUAAGGGAGUCUUGUUGAUGUAGGUGAUGACAGGCCACUACCGGCCCAUGGCUGCUCACGGCUGAUAGGGGACAGGUGGGGGGGGGGGGGCUGGUUGCUAGGCGCCACAUCCCCCUCCACUGCACUUUGGAAUCAUUUAAAAACAUUGAACCAUUUAAAUUGCAUUUAGCAAGAAAGCAUUUCUUUGUUUGUAUGCAUCAAGGUACAUUUCCUUCCGCAUAUUAAAUUAGAACAACCAAUCAAAUUGAGCCGGUCUGAACGCCCUCCUCCGGUCUGAAAGGAGACAGGGUUUCAAAAUAAGGGCGUCCCCGGUAAACGUAAUGUUGGGACAUAAACACUUUAAAUUAACCGUCCCCAUCUACAAGUGCUGAAGAGUUUAGAUAUAUGUAUAUUUUUGGUUAACCAGAGAGACUUCGUCAUGUUUGUAUUUGUUAAAAUAAAUGAUUAAACAUGUCAGCUAACAAAAGUCUGUAUGUACCAACACCAGAAGGGACUUUGAGGGAGAGCCAGUACAAGGGGUCUCAGGGCCAGUGUGUUUCAGAGGCUAAAGAAUGUAACGCGGCCAAUGCUUAUUAAUUAUGUUGUGGUUGAGUCUGUAUGGGGGGGAUAAAACGUCCCAGAGGAGCGAGGACACCAGUCUCCUGAACCUCCGUGGUGUUCUCCUGACUCCCCUCAAGUAGAGGGGGUUCACUGGUCUGGUGUUUGUUUCACCUUCUCUGGCUGUGGCUGUCCUGUGGCUGUGGUCCAGCAGCAGAGCCUCAUCUCUACCGCCUGAAUGUCCUUAAGUUUCAUCUCACUUCUAUUGUUAGAAAAAAAAGAACGUUUUUGAUGUUGAAAUACCUUUAUUGUCACAUUUGUCACCUAUAAAUUGUAAGAAAUAU